rnacentral:rRNA from 1 species
ACGGGGUGCAGCAGGCGCGAAACCUCCGCAAUACACGAAAGUGUGACGGGGUUACCCAAAGUGUUCUAUUUAGAACUGUGGUAGGUGAGUAAUGUCCCCUACUAGAAAGAAGAGGGCAAGGCUGGUGCCAGCCGCCGCGGUAAAACCAGCUCUUCAAGUGGUCGGGAUAAUUAUUGGGCUUAAAGUGUCCGUAGCCGGUUUAGUAAGUUCCUGGUAAAAUCGGGUAGCUUAACUAUCUAUAUGCUAGGAAUACUACUAUACUAGAGGGCGGGAGAGGUCUGAGGUACUACAGGGGUAGGGGUGAAAUCUUAUAAUCCUUGUAGGACCACCAGUGGCGAAGGCGUCAGACUGGAACGCGCCUGACGGUGAGGGACGAAAGCCAGGGGAGCGAACCGGAUUAGAUACCCGGGUAGUCCUGGCCGUAAACGAUGCAUACUAGGUGAUGGCAUGGCCAUGAGCCAUGUCAGUGCCGUAGGGAAACCGUUAAGUGUGCCGCCUGGGAAGUACGGUCGCAAGGCUAAAACUUAAAGGAAUUGGCGGGGGAGCACCACAAGGGGUGAAGCCUGCGGUUCAAUUGGACUCAACGCCGGAAAACUUACCAGGGGAGACAGCAGUAUGACGGUCAGGUUGACGACCUUACCUAACGAGCUGAGAGGAGGUGCAUGGCCGUCGCCAGUUCGUGCCGUGAGGUAUCCUGUUAAGUCAGGCAACGAACGAGAUCCGCACCUUUAUUUGCCACCAAGAAGUCACGACUUCGUUGGGAACACUAAAGGGACCGC